UGGGAAAGAUAAGAAUAAAAUCAAAGCAAUAAGCAGUGUCGUGAAACCACCUUCGGGUGGUUUUUUU
rnacentral:sRNA from 1 species